rnacentral:lncRNA from 1 species
CCUGGUGGUGCACGUCCCCAACCUUAUGUGGAUUUCCUAAAUUCUGCAAAAAAGGUUUGGAAGCUGAUCAAUCAAUACUGGAACUCCCUCUUCUCCAGAAGAGACAUCCUGGCCUCCAUGCAGAGGAAUGUGUGGAUGGACAUAUAUUUAAGGAAGACACUAAACCAGAAAAUACUACAUUACACCCUCUUAAAAGACUUCUAAGAUUGUUGUCAUGCCUACCACUGACAUUCAGAUGAUGUGUAUUGUUGAUUGUGAUUUCAUGUUUGGACCUGAUGAAGGAGUUUGAAGUCUCCAGAGCAGCAAAGAGAGUGGGGAGUAGAACUCAUCAUCUUUAGGUCACUCAUCAUCG